CUAGUACACAUCGGAUGUAUUAUUGUGGUAGUGUGUCCUCGAUUAAAAACACAGAAAGAAAAACUUCCGUCUUAAACAUGCAAGCAAGGUGUUGAAGUAACUUGGCGUGGAUUGAGUGAGGUAAAAAGGCUGAGGAAAUGGUUCACAGUCAAGGCCAAGUGGUACAGUGGAAGAAAUCACAGCCUCUCUCUGCCUCACUUUCCUCAUCUUUAAAAGGAAGAACUGGAGGUUCCUUUUCUACACUAACAUUCUAGGACAAUAAAGGAUAGCACCAUGGUCAGACCUGAAGGAAUCUGGACAUGCUUAGAAGCAGAAGGAGGAACAAGGUGGCAAUCAACAAUUACCCUGCAUAAAAAUGUAUCCAGUUGUCUCCAUUUAGAAUAGACUCAGUACAGAUUAUAUUAUGUUUGGAGAAAUAUUUAUUUUCUUUAAUGUGAAUUGCUUUUAAUAAUAAUUGUUUGCCCUUGGGAUAUAUGUAUGUACUACAGAGAGAUGAGGAAAGACACAUUCUAAGAGGAGAGUACAUAAUGGUGAACUUUGAGACAAGGAACCAAGACUAGGAAUGAGGGUGUGCUUUUAUAGGGAUACCUGUGAAAAUUUUUCAGUUUUUUGUUGCUCUCUUCCUUUGAACUAUUGGUAAAGUUCUAUUUAACAAAGAGUUUUUAUUGACAUAGGGAUGUGUAACCUUCUGCAUGCACAUUGCACCUCCCCAAGGCCAAUGUUAUGGUCCCAACAUCGAGGAGCAUUCUGGCAAGUAGCAGGGAAAUGAGUGGAGGCCUGCAGAGGAGCAUGGAGGAGAACGUGGCCCCUGAAUGAGCUAUGGGAGCACAGAUUUGCAUGUUUAAGAAGAACUCUUGAAGACCUAUUGCCAGCAGUUGAAAUGUCACAUCUCUCUGUCUGUCAAGAGUGGCAAAAAUCCAUAUCCUACAAUAACUGGCUUUUACUUAUUGAUUCUACCCAGCUUAAAAUAAACUGAAAGCGUUCCUACUUUGCCCUUUCCCCUGGAGUUGGAAUCAACUCAUUGGAGUGAACGACACUAAUCAUCCUAGAAAAGAGAUGGUUGCAAGCCUCCAGUUGAGAGCCUACCAUUCCGUAUUACACAGGGGCACUGAAAGGCAGAUGUACUCACCAAAUUAUUGUUCUUUGUCAAGCAGUCACAGUAGUUCCAUGUCAAAGUCUUUUCUCAUUCCUGUCUACCACACCUGGGAGCAGAAGAUUCUUGGUAGCUUCACAUCUUCUAUCUUAAACUGGCAUUCCUCCUUCAGUAGGAAAGUAUCGAACACUCCUACUUUGACCCACGAUUCUACUUCUUACCUCAGUCAUCAUCAGAAAUCCAAGCUCUCUUUAUUAUGAGCUCUGUUUAUUACCCAUUUGUC